GUCCGCCUUUUACCUACUCUGAACAUUUGAUGGUAAAUCGUUGUUCACUAACUUCCAGAGGCAAAUCAGGAGAGAGGGCAAUAACAAGAUUUAGGUUUUGGGUUUUUUUUUGUUGUUGUUGUUGUUUUUAAUAGUCAACCAGAGACAUUUCAUCCCUGAGACAACAGGCCCCAUGGAGGACAGGGGAGACAGUCAAGGACUGAAAGUUGCAGGAUUCUAUGUAAAUCCGUAUACUGAACAGCAAGAUUCCCUUCCCUUACCCAGAUCCCAGAAUUUCCACAGCCAAGUUUAAAAUCCUCACACGGGAGUUUGGAAGAUCCUUCUUUGGAAAAACUCAACAAACGUGCCCAGGGGUCGGAGCAGCUCGGCUUUUGCACUGAACAGGGUGGGAAGUUGAUACUGAAACAAAUUACCACAAACUUAGUGGCUUAAAAAACAUAAAUUUGUGAGCAGGAGCCAAGAUGGCGGAACAGCCUGGAAGGUUUUUUUGUGUCUCUCGUCAUGAACUACAGCCAGACCAACACUAAACCAUCCUGCUCACCGAGAAAACAGAUCUGAGGAUUCACACAACAAUCCGCACAACCUGAACCACAGAACUCGGCGGGUAUGCGGCGCAGAGAGAUGCAGACUUUUCAUAUAUUAGCUGCCGCUAGUCCUCAAUCUCACUCCAAACAAACACUGCAUUUUGAAACCCAGUUGCCCUCAAGAGGAACAUCACUCCUGGGUAGACCCAUCAAACGAGGAGUGAACCACAACCAAGCUUUAGAUGCCUGGGCCCCUGCACUCUGACCACUGGACUAUGUAUGUAAUGACGAGGAAAUUCGCUCACGAGGAAAAUCACUAUGGAUACAGAGUAGAGAACAGUUGGAAGGAACAGGAAGAACACGGGAGCCAGAAACACCAGUUUGGAGAUGAUGGCAGGAGACCAGGCCUGCACUAAAGAAGGCACCUGGGAGGCAGAAUGGACAGGGUUUUGUGAUGGGUCAGAUGGUGGUGGUGGAAGCAAGGGGAGAAGGUUAGGAUGAACCGGGUUUGGGGCUUGAGAGAAUCAGUGAGUGAUCAUGCCGUCAACAGAAACCAGUCCUCCAGAAGGAGGAUAAAUUCUGCUUUAAAGGGCUUCAGGAUAGCUUUUACCAGGAUGGAGGUUGCAUUGGCACAACUACGCUGCGAUGGUGGUGAGUCAUUCCUGUAGUCGUGCAUUCAAUGAAUGUGCUCUGCGCGGGGCGUGAUGCUGGCCAGUGAGACAAGGGUCCUACAGCCCAGGAUCCACUGCUGUCCACGUGCCACUCCUUCACCGGCCCGAGACUCUCCCGAGCCCAUUACCUUCUGAGCUUCCAUGUCAUCAUCUCAAACGUGGUGACCAAACCCUCAGCUGGUUCGCCUGACCGUUGUGAUAACACUGGGGAAAGCCCUUGGUAAACUGUACUCGCUAGAAGCUGAGUGACAAUUUCGCCUUGUAGAUGGUUGGACCAUGUUGGCCACGGGAGAGCCGAGAGAAACCAGGUGAAGAAAACUAAUCUUCCCAGCAAUGUGACAGACCUGGAUGGAAGCGAGGAGGGAGCUCAGAAAGCCCAUGACCCCCUUCCUACCCUACGCUGACUGUCUCCUUCCCCCACAGUGUACAGGGAGGUAACCUUGGAAAGAGGGACGUACUCUGAAACGGCGAUGGGGGAGUUCGUAAAACUGAGAAUAGUUGUCAGUGAAGUCACUCGUUUUAAAUAACAAUU